AGCAGGAUAGAGCAGAGGUAGUUCGCUUGGCUCAUAACCAAGAGGUCUCGGGUUCAAAUCCCGAUCCUGCCA
rnacentral:tRNA from 1 species